GAUGAACGCUGGCGGUAGGCCUGACACAUGCAAGUCGAACGGCAGCACAGGAGAGCUUGCUCUCUGGGUGGCGAGUGGCGGACGGGUGAGGAAUACAUCGGAAUCUACUCUGUCGUGGGGGAUAACGCAGGGAAACUUACGCUAAUACCGCAUACGACCUACGGGUGAAAGCAGGGGAUCUUCGGACCUUGCGCGAUUGAAUGAGCAGAUGUCGGAUUAGCUAGUUGGCGGGGUAAAGGCCCACCAAGGGGACGAUCCGUAGCUGGUCUGAGAGGAGGACCAUCAACGCUGGAACUGAGACACGGUCCAAACUCCUACGGGAGGCAGCAGUGGGGAAGUUUGGGCAAUGGGCGCAAGCCUGAUCCAGCCAUGCCGCGUGUGUGAAGAAGGCCUUCGGGUUGUAAGGCCCUUUUGUUGGGAAAGAAAUCCAGCUGGUUAAUACCCGGUUGGGAUGACGGUACCCAAAGAAUAAGCACCGGCUAACUUCGUGCCAGCCGCCGCCGUAA
rnacentral:rRNA from 1 species